GGUGGCUGCUGCCUGCAGUAGUGACCUGCUUUUGUGACCGUUCUCUUUUUUUUUUUUCUUUGGAUGUUUUUUUUUUAGGUUAUGGCAGAGGAAGGAGGGGUCCUUAAUUUGUGUCCCACCUGCGUAACGUAGGUACUAGUAGUAGUAGUAGUAGUAGUAGUAGCAGUAGUAGUUCAGUGUUGACAUUGAAACGUCACACAGAUACUUUUAAAAAAAUUGUGAUUUCUCCAAUAACGGACAAAUCAGCCCAGCAGGAGCAAACAGCCACAACCCAUCUUACGUCUGACAGAAGGGAAAAACAUUUGACUCUUUUCCAGGAUGAACUUGCUUGGCAUCUCACAGCAGAGCAGAACAACGGCAUCGUUUAUCUAAAAAAGCCAGACGACGCAACUGGUGCAACUUCCUGCGUGGUUACAAAGAAGCCACCGAGUUUCUCCCGCGGCUGCAGGCAUUUGAGGCAACGCGGGAGUCAGCUUGAGUUCUCCCGCUUAGGAGUCGAUCCUACACACAGAUAUGUGGCUGACGGAUGAUCCGGGGGGACUGUUUGUGAGUGAAAAAAAAUGUGUUUUCUCCUCUGGGUUUAUGAAUCCCCAAGUGGAGCAGAUGUUUUAGUUUGACCGUGACUGGCUGUAUUUACUACAGCUGUGCAGAGAAGUUACUUCCACAGAUUGUAUUUUAAGCAAUUUCUAUUCUAAAACAGACCAGAGGAAUAACUGAGGUACACGACCCGCACAUCAAAGACUCAGACCCCCAAACAUUUGGAUUGAAUGAAAUCCAAUUUAUCAAAGAAGUUUCCCGUUACAAGAGCACAGAG
ensembl:lncRNA